rfam:Schistosoma mansoni strain Puerto Rico chromosome 3, complete genome
AUCCAGCUGACGGGUCCCACAUAGGAUGAAAUGCGCGUGCUGGAU